GACGAACGCUGUCGGCGUGCUUAACACAUGCAAGUCGAACGGAAAGGCCCUGCUUUUGUGGGGUGCUCGAGUGGCGAACGGGUGAGUAACACGUGAGUAACCUGCCCUUGACUUUGGGAUAACUUCAGGAAACUGGGGCUAAUACCGGAUAGGAGCUCCUGCUGCAUGGUGGGGGUUGGAAAGUUUCGGCGGUUGGGGAUGGACUCGCGGCUUAUCAGCUUGUUGGUGGGGUAGUGGCUUACCAAGGCUUUGACGGGUAGCCGGCCUGAGAGGGUGACCGGCCACAUUGGGACUGAGAUACGGCCCAGACUCCUACGGGAGGCAGCAGUGGGGAAUAUUGCACAAUGGGCGGAAGCCUGAUGCAGCAACGCCGCGUGCGGGAUGACGGCCUUCGGGUUGUAAACCGCUUUCGCCUGUGACGAAGCGUGAGUGACGGUAAUGGGUAAAGAAGCACCGGCUAACUACGUGCCAGCAGCCGCGGUGAUACGUAGGGUGCGAGCGUUGUCCGGAUUUAUUGGGCGUAAAGGGCUCGUAGGUGGUUGAUCGCGUCGGAAGUGUAAUCUUGGGGCUUAACCCUGAGCGUGCUUUCGAUACGGGUUGACUUGAGGAAGGUAGGGGAGAAUGGAAUUCCUGGUGGAGCGGUGGAAUGCGCAGAUAUCAGGAGGAACACCAGUGGCGAAGGCGGUUCUCUGGGCCUUUCCUGGCGCUGAGGAGCGAAAGCGUGGGGAGCGAACAGGCUUAGAUACCCUGGUAGUCCACGCUGUAAACGGUGGGUACUAGGUGUGGGGUCCAUUCCACGGGUUCCGUGCCGUAGCUAACGCUUUAAGUACCCCGCCUGGGGAGUACGGCCGCAAGGCUAAAACUCAAAGGAAUUGACGGGGCCCCGCACAAGCGGCGGAGCAUGCGGAUUAAUUCGAUGCAACGCGUAGAACCUUACCUGGGUUUGACAUGGAUCGGGAGUGCUCAGAGAUGGGUGUGCCUCUUUUGGGGUCGGUUCACAGGUGGUGCAUGGCUGUCGUCAGCUCGUGUCGUGAGAUGUUGGGUUAAGUCCCGCAACGAGCGCAACCCUUGUUCACUGUUGCCAGCACGUUAUGGUGGGGACUCAGUGGAGACCGCCGGGGUCAACUCGGAGGAAGGUGGGGAUGACGUCAAGUCAUCAUGCCCCUUAUGUCCAGGGCUUCACGCAUGCUACAAUGGCUGGUACAGAGAGUGGCGAGCCUGUGAGGGUGAGCGAAUCUCGGAAAGCCGGUCUCAGUUCGGAUUGGGGUCUGCAACUCGACCUCAUGAAGUCGGAGUCGCUAGUAAUCGCAGAUCAGCAACGCUGCGGUGAAUACGUUCCCGGGGCU
rnacentral:rRNA from 1 species